rnacentral:rRNA from 1 species
CCCUUAGAUGUUCUGGGCCGCACGCGUGCUACACUGAUGCAUUCAACGAGUCUAAAACCUGGUCUGAUAGGGCUGGGUAAUCUUUUGAAAGUGCAUCGUGAUUGGGAUAGAUGAUUGCAAUUCUUCAUCUUCAACGAGGAAUGCCUAGUAAACGCAAGUCAUCAGCUUGCAUUGAUUACGUCCCUGCCCUUUGUACACACCGCCCGUCGCUCCUACCGAUUGAAUGAUCCGAUGAAUACCAUGGAUUGAGAGUACGAAUAGGUUCGCUUAUUUCUGCUGCUCGAGAAGUGGAGUAAAUCUUAUCAUUUAGAGGAAGAAAAAGUCGUAACA